AGAACGAACGCUGGCGGCAUGCCUAAUACAUGCAAGUCGAACGAACUCUUCGGAGUUAGUGGCGCACGGGUGCGUAACGCGUGGGAAUCUGCCCCUUGGUUCGGAAUAACAGUUGGAAACGACUGCUAAUACCGGAUGAUGACGAAAGUCCAAAGAUUUAUCGCCAAGGGAUGAGCCCGCGUAGGAUUAGCUAGUUGGUGAGGUAAAGGCUC
rnacentral:rRNA from 1 species